rnacentral:snRNA from 1 species
UCACAGUGAUGAAUGGUCCAAACAUUCAGUUUCCAACAGAAUUCCAGAUGUGUUGGCAGCUAGUUUACCCCCCUUGGAUGUCUUAGUGA